CCUACGGGAGGCAGCAGUGAGGAAUAUUGGUCAAUGGGCGGGAGCCUGAACCAGCCAAGUCGCGUGAGGGACGACGGUCCUAUGGAUUGUAACCAUCUUUUGUCGGGGAACAAAGGCGCCCACGGAUGACCGGAUGAGUGUACCCGAAGAACAAGCAUCGGCUAACUCCGUGCCAGCAGCCGCGGUAAUGCGGAGGAUGCGAGCGUUAUCCGGAUUUAUUGGGUUUAAAGGGUGCGUAGGCGGACAGUCAAGUCAGGGGAAAAAAUGCGGUGCUCAACGCCGUACAGCCGUUGAAACUGGCAGUCAUGAGUGGGUGAGAAGUAUGCGGAAUGCGGGGUGUAGCGGGGAAAUGCAUAGAUACCACGCAGAACUCCGAUGGCGAAGGCAGCAUACCGGCGCCCGACUGACGCUGAGGCACGAAAGCGUGGGUAUCGAACAGGAUUAGAUACCGUGUAGUC
rnacentral:rRNA from 1 species